UUCAUUGGGCUCAAAGGAAUGCCGAUCACAUAAUCCCCCUCUACUGCUUCGACCCGCAGCAUUACCAGGGCACCUAUCACUUCAACUUUCCUAAGACUGGUCCGUUCCGUUUACGUUUCCUCCUGGACAGUGUGAAAGACCUGAGGGCCACACUGAAGAAACGGGGCAGCACACUGUUGGUGAGACAAGGGAAGCCGGAGGAUGUUGUUAGUGAUUUGAUUCAGCAGCUGGGUUCAGUCACAGCUGUGGCUUUUCAUGAGGAGGUGGCGUCAGAGGAAAAGUCAGUGGAGAAGAAGCUAAAGGACAUCUGCUGCCAAAACAAAGUCAAAGUUCAGACUUUCUGGGGUUCCACACUUUAGCACAGAGAUGAUCUGCCAUUCAGUCACAUUA